AACGAACGCUGGCGGCAUGCCUAACACAUGCAAGUCGAACGAGACCUUCGGGUCUAGUGGCGCACGGGUGCGUAACGCGUGGGAAUCUGCCCCUCGGUUCGGAAUAACACAGAGAAAUUUGUGCUAAUACCGGAUAAUGACUUCGGUCCAAAGAUUUAUCGCCGAGGGAUGAGCCCGCGUAAGAUUAGCUUGUUGGUGGGGUAAUAGGCCUACCAAGGCGACGAUCUUUAGCUGGUCUGAGAGGAUGAUCAGCCACACUGGGACUGAGACACGGCCCAGACUCCUACGGGAGGCAGCAGUGGGGAAUAUUGGACAAUGGGCGAAAGCCUGAUCCAGCAAUGCCGCGUGAGUGAUGAAGGCCUUAGGGUUGUAAAGCUCUUUUACCAGGGAUGAUAAUGACAGUACCUGGAGAAUAAGCUCCGGCUAACUCCGUG
rnacentral:rRNA from 1 species